rnacentral:misc_RNA from 1 species
AAGAAUUAACGGAGGUUUUGAUGCCUGCAGCUUGCUGCGUGUGCUCGCCUCCAAAAUCCUUUUCCAUACACCUGUGAACUACUGCAAGUGAGAGGAGAAAUCCUUUUACUUGUUAUAUAUAAACUCUGAUAAUUCUUUGAAUAUGUCAAGUCGCAAGACUUAUAAUAUUUAAA